UGUAAGCGUGUACCAAAGUUGUUGCAGUUAAAACGCUCGUAGUCGGAAUUUGGCAGUUCCGGAUGUGUGCACGUCGUGUGCGCACUUCGCGGGGAUUGCUUUUGUGGUCUUGCGUAGGAUGAGGCACUUUUAUUAGUGAACGUCCUCACGCAACCACUUUUUACUGUGAGAAAAUCAGAGUGCUCAAAGCAGGCAUUUGCCGUGAAUGUAUUAGCAUGGAAUAAUAGAAUAGGACUUGGUUCUAUUUUGUUGGUUUGUUGGGACUGAGUAAUGAUUAAGAGGGACAGUUGGGGGCAUUUGUAUUUCGGUGCUAGAGGUGAAAUUCUUAGAUUACCGAAAGACAAACUGCUGCGAAAGCGUCUGCCAAGGAUGUUUUCAUUGA
rnacentral:rRNA from 1 species